CAUCGGAAAAUAAUCGAGAAUUUUCAACUUUAAUGGGAAUUAGGUAGAUAGGUACUUCACGUUGACUAUACGAUCAAACGAACAUUACGUAAUUUAGGUCUGCUAAAUUCUAAAGAUGAAAAGACGCACAGUGACUUUUCUAUUCUUUAAUAUAAUUGCACCAGAUUUUCAGCAUACGGUGCCCCAAAAUAGCUAUACUAGGUACUGGUGUAAAUGCUGAACUCCGAGCAUUACUGGAUUUAGGAAUCACACACUCAACUGUGGACUGGGAAAGCGCUUUUAAGCACCUCGCAGAAAGAUAUAAUCAGAGAGGGGUGGCAUUGCAACAGCUCAAUGUUCUAAAUUUCAUAGGCACUCAUAUGCAAAAAUUAUUAUGGGAAUUAAAUCUAUUUCGUUGCACACAACAAAAUGUUGUCAAACCCAUGAUAACACUGAAGGAGGAAGAUAUAUCUUAUGAGGAAAUACCCAUCUAUUUUCCUGGGACGGUUGAUGAAUUUGAUUAUUUUAAACUAGGUUAUAUUGACUGGUAUCGCAUUAUUAUGAAUUCCAAGGAUCGUCGGAUUGUGAAUUUUAUUGUGGCCAUUAAAAAUAAUUUGCGUGAUGGUGAAACACCCUUAAAGGAACGAGACAUAAGUAAACAUUUGGCAUUAAUCUGGUGUACUGUUAGGAAGGACACACGCCGCCCAGUUCUGGAUUCAGUAAAAGCCCAGAUAAUUUUGAAUAAUGCAGAUGAAGUGGCGGAUGCCUUCAGUGCAUUUAUACAAGAUGACUUUUACGUGAAUUUUGUUCGUAUCUUUUUUGAAGAGACGAAGUUCAGGAUUCAUUCUACUUGAUUACCCAUAUAUGUACUCCUUUAUAUUACCUAUUAUUAAUUAUGAGCACUUUAAUUAGCUUCAUAAUUUGUUCUGCAGAAACUUCACGAGUUCUAUAAAUUGAAGUUUUUUUUUCACUUUGCUCAGAAAAAAUACAUUUCAUGAGAAAGUUGAAAAAUCACCUUUAAAACAGCUUUUUUGAGUUUUUUCAAAUAUUGAAAAAUUCGCCAGAGGUCCGAAAUGUUCUUUCAAUUUCGUUCAAAUCGAAAACGACGAGUUCGAAAAGUGAAUACUUUUAUACGCUCGUUUUCGGGUAUCUAGAUCUACUCGAUUUACUGAGUAUUAUAGGUAGGUAUAGUACCUACUACAUGCAUAUCUAGGAAUCAACAAGCAGCAGCGAAAUUGGCUUUCGUUGUAAUUCAAAAGAAUUCGAAAUCCGUUCAGUGUUAAUGGGUGGCCGAAAGGCGAUAAUGUUUGUACAAUGUAGGUCUGCGCUCCAUUGCUGAGCUGCGGACUUGAUAAUCAAAAGAAUACAGAUCAUCUCUGGUUUAUGUGCAUUCUGAUGAAUAAAUUUAUGGAGUUAUAUGGUAUAAAGACUAGUUUCAAACAUACUGGUUAGUAAAGAACGACGCUAUUUUUUUUCUCUCUACUUAAUUAUACGUAACGCGAGUUCUCUAUAAGAGUAAUGCUUUAUUAGACUUGAGAUAGAUUUUAGACUACAUGCAAACUUCUAAUUAUUGAUGUUUAAAAAUGUUAAGUCGGGAUAUAGUUUCGGUAAAAUUAAUAGAUUAUUCCGAUACUUAUCUCAAAACAUCAUUAUAAUAUGAUUAUAAUGAUUAUAAUUUUGUUUAUAUAUGUAAUCUGGUUCAAAAAUUCGUCCAUAUAGUGAAGCCUUCUGACUGCCUUGCUGCCUUUUAUUUUCGUGUUUACAAAUGUAUGUUUUUAGGGUACUAUGUGCGUAUUUGUGCCCUGAAUUUCAAAAGGAGAGGUUUAACUUUUUAUUAAAGUUUUUUCGGUUGAGCUGUACAUUGUGGAAAUAUUCCAUUUGGAUGGUGAAUACUAUGUAUUAUAGGUACAGGUACCACCUACUAACCUACCCGGCUAUUAACUGUGCGAGGAUCGCCAUCAAUUUCA